AGCGAACGCUGGCGGCAGGCCUAAUACAUGCAAGUCGAACGGCUCUUCGGAGCAGUGGCGGACGGGUGAGUAACGCGUGGGAACGUGCCCUUUGGUACGGAACAACUGAGGGAAACUUCAGCUAAUACCGUAUGUGCCCUUCGGGGGAAAGAUUUAUCGCCAUUGGAGCGGCCCGCGUUGGAUUAGGUAGUUGGUGGGGU
rnacentral:rRNA from 1 species